AGUGAACGCUGGCGGUAGGCCUAACACAUGCAAGUCGAACGGCAGCACAGGAGAGCUUGCUCUCUGGGUGGCGAGUGGCGGACGGGUGAGGAAUACAUCGGAAUCUACUUUUUCGUGGGGGAUAACGUAGGGAAACUUACGCUAAUACCGCAUACGACCUUUGGGUGAAAGCAGAGGACCUUCGGGCCUUGCGCGAUUAAAUGAGCCGAUGUCGGAUUAGCUAGUUGGCGGGGUAAAGGCCCACCAAGGCGACGAGCCGUAGCUGGGCUGAGAGGAUGAUCAGCCACACUGGAACUUAGACACGGUCCAGACUCCUACGGGAGGCAGCAGUGGGAAUAUUGGACAAUGGGCGCGAGCCUGAUCCAGCCAUACCGCGUGGGUGAAGAAGGCCUGCGGGUUGUAAAGCCCUUUUGUUGGGAAAGAAAAGCAGUCGGUUAAUACCCGAUUGUUCUGACGGUACCCAAAGAAUAAGCACCGGCUAACUUCGUGCCAGCAGCCGCCGUAAAAC
rnacentral:rRNA from 1 species